AUGAACGCUGGCGGCGUGUCUUAGGCAUGCAAGUCGAACGAAUACGUGUAGCAAUAUACGUGUGAGUGGCAAACGGGUGCGUAACACAUUGGUAACCUGCCCCAAAGUUCGGAAAAACGAGUCGAAAGAUUCGCUAAUACCGGAUGUGAUUCCGUGGUACUUCCACGGAAGGAAAGGCGCAAGUCGCUUUGGGAGGGGCCUAUGGUCCAUCAGCUAGUUGGUAGGGUAACGGCCUACCAAGGCUCCGACGGAUAGCGGGUGUGAGAGCACGACCCGCCUCACUGGGACUGAGACACUGCCCAGACUCCUACGGGAGGCUGCAGUCGAGAAUCUUCCCCAAUGGCCGAAAGGCUGAGGGAGCGACGCCGCGUGCAGGAAGACGCUCUUCGGAGUGUAAACUGCUUUUCUUGAAGAACAACUCUGAGUGUACUCAAGGAAUAAGGGGCUGCUAACUUCGU
rnacentral:rRNA from 1 species